AACCAGUUCCAGAGCAAAGAGGAGGAUUCAACUCCCAUCAAGGAAGAACAGCCAAGAGCCGAGCGUAUAUUAUGGACCUGAGAUCCCUGCACUGAGAAGCUCCUAGAAGCAGGAGACUGAGAUAGAGAGAGGAAGCUGUAACCCUGAAGAUGCUUAAAUACAGACCAGAAGAGGAGUUUGGGGCUUGACACCUGACGUCUUAACACCAGUUCCUGUUUCUUGAGGAAGGAAGAGGUAAAAUAAAUCAGCGUUUACUGUUUCCUUCUCCAUCCCCGGAAGUCCUGAUGAAGACCCUCUCAGCUUCAACUUGAACGUGAAUAUGAGCAACUGAUCAUCUGUUCUGCAGUCAGCCCCUGGCCUGAUUCUGACUCAUGAUAUUGACCAAGUGAAGAGUGAUUCAGAGAAAAACAUGGGUAGAGUGUGACCUAAUUUCCAUAAAAACAAACAAAUGAAUGUACUUACAUGUGUCCCGGCAAAAAGAAGUGUGUAAAAGGGUACAUAUGUAUCUUUGGACACUGGACACUUCAGGGGAGCAGGUACAAUAUACUUAUGUGGGGAUGGCUCUUAUUAUAACUUCUAUAUACAAAUCUCUAUUGUUAAAUGUGUUAUAAGAAUGUAAAAGCUUUUAAAGUUUAAUAACAUCAUACGUGUAUGUGUGUGUAUUUGAAACUUUUUUUCUUUUGACUAUUUUAUAUAUGUGUUUUUUAGUUAUCUAGUUUUUUUUUUAGUGUGGCUAUAGCAGAGAUACCACAAGUGGAUGGCUUUAACAAACAGAAACUUAUUCUCUCACAGUUUAAGAAGCAACAAGUUUGAAGUCAGGGCACCAGGUCUAGGAGAAAGCUUUCUCUCUUUGUGGCUCUGGGGGAAGGUCCUUGUCAUCUAUCUUCCCCUGGCCUAGGAAAUUCUCAGCGCGUGGACGCUGGGUCAAAAAGACGUGCUCCACUCCAGGCACUUCUUCCUUGGUGG